rnacentral:lncRNA from 1 species
UAUAAAUUCAGGGCCGUAACUACAUGGAGGCAAAUGAGGCAAAUGCCUCAUGUUGGAAAUUUCAAAAAAAAAAAAAGAAAAAAAAUGAAACAAGAUUGUCUCCAUAUCAACCUGAAUUGUUUUCACGGAAAGUGUCUUGCAAGAAGCAAGUUCUCUUCACUCUCUAAUAUCGCCCCUGCAUGUUUUUUGUGAUCCAUGUUUCUAUUUUAUUUUUAGUUUUCAGAGUUGAUGGUCUAUUGUUUGUACUUCUGUGUUCCGGGUUUGUCUUUUGUUCAUUUAUUGUCCUACUUUAUAACUAUAGUCUGCAGAGUGUUGAUUUUCAUUUGUAAAGUGUGAUUUUGCAAUUUUGCAAGUCCACCGAUGUCCAGACAUUGUACGCGAAACUAUUUUAAGAAUAUACGAUGCUACUGGACAUAGAAAAAAAUUGUCGUUUCUGCAUGGAGAAUUAAACUUGAUAUCAAAGAAUACAAAACUGGCUAUUUUUUGGCAGAUAAAACUAGAUAGCUGACAUGGUUUAAAUUAAAGUAAGACCAC